AACGAACGCUGGCGGCAUGCCUAACACAUGCAAGUCGAACGAUGCCUUCGGGCAUAGUGGCGCACGGGUGCGUAACGCGUGGGAAUCUGCCUUUCGGUUCGGAAUAACUCAGGGAAACUUGAGCUAAUACCGGAUAACGUCGCAAGACCAAAGAUUUAUCACCGAAAGAUGAGCCCGCGUAGGAUUAGCUAGUUGGUGAGGUAAAGGCUCACCAAGGCGACGAUCCUUAGCUGGUCUGAGAGGAUGAUCAGCCACACUGGGACUGAGACACGGCCCAAACCCCACGGGAAGGAGCAGGGGGGAAUAAUGGAAAAAGGGGCAAAGGCCUUACCCACCAUGCCCGCGGGAAAGAGGAAGCCUUUGGGGUAAAAAACCUUUUUCCCCCGGAAAGAAAAGCCCGUUACGGGGAAAAAAACCCCGGACAAACCCCGUC
rnacentral:rRNA from 1 species